rnacentral:tRNA from 1 species
ACUCUUUCAGUAUACUAUGUACGCUUGCCUUCCAAGUAAGAGGAUUAAAUAAAAUUUAAAAAGAGUA